rnacentral:rRNA from 1 species
GACGAACGCUGGCGGCGUGCUUAACACAUGCAAGUCGAACGAAGCGGCGGACGGGUGAGUAAUGCCUAGGAAUCUGCAUGGUAGUGGGGGAUAACGUCCGGAAACGGGCGCUAAUCCCGCAUACUAUCAGAUGAGCCUAGGUCGGAUUAGAGAGUGGGGGGGGUAAAGGCCUACCAAGGCGACGAUCCGUAAAUGGUCUGAGAGGAUGAUCAGUCACACUGGAACUGAGACACGUUCCAGACUCCUACGGGAGGAAGCAGGGGGGAAGAUUGGACAAUGGGCGAAAGCCGGAGGCAGCCAUGCCGCGUGUGUGAAGAAGGUCUUCGGAUUGUAAAGCACUUUAAGUUGGGAGGCGUUACCAACAGAAUAAGCACCGGCUAACUUCGUGCCAGCAGCCGCGGUAAUAC